CCGGCAGAUCUAUUCCCCUAAUAAAGGCUUGUUGUGGCCUGGUCUGGUCUUGGUCUUCGGCCUUUUACCUGACAGAAGAUGGCCCUCCUGACCUAUCAGACGCACACACACACACACACACACACACACACACACACACACGCAUUUGUGGAUUCAGCCAACUUCCAGUGAUGCACAAAGUAGUUGGGCCUAUUAUGGUUAUGCCUGUAUUGCAUAUAACCACUGACGGCUACUCUGAUCUGCACAAGGAAGCAGGGCACAAGGAAGGUAUUUAACAUUUCCAGAAGCAGACUUCAAUUAAAGACAGACAGAAGUUACUGUGUAAAGCCAGCUCCUUGUGCUGAUGCAUAACACUCUGGGAUGUGAUUUCAACAUCUUCACUGGUUCCCUCGGUAUGAGG
ensembl:lncRNA